rnacentral:rRNA from 1 species
GAUGAACGCUAGCGGCAGGCCUAAUACAUGCAAGUCGGACGGGAUUCAGGAGCUUGCUUCUGAUGAGAGUGGCGCACGGGUGCGUAACACGUAUGUAACCUACCUUUAUCAGGGGGAUAGCCUCUCGAAAGAGAGAUUAAGCCCGCAUAAAAUCACAGCACAGCAUUGUGUAAUGAUCAAAUAUUUAUAGGAUAAAGAUGGGCAUGCGGAACAUUAGCUAGAUGGCGGGGUAACGGCCCACCAUGGCGACGAUGGUUAGGGGAUCUGAGAGGAUGGCCCCCCACACUGGUACUGAGACACGGACCAGACUGCUACGGGAGGCAGCAGUAAGGAAUAUUGGUCAAUGGGCGGAAGCCUGAACCAGCCAUGCCGCGUGCAGGAAGACGGCCCUACGGGUUGUAAACUGCUUUUAUACGGGAAUAAACCCAGAUACGUGUAUCUGGCUGAAUGUACUGUAAGAAUAAGGAUCGGCUAACUCCGUG